rnacentral:rRNA from 1 species
CCCCGGUGCACUCUUCCGGCUCAGGCCAGCAUCAGUUCGCCCUGGGGGAUAAAGGCUUCGGGAAUGUGGCUCUCUCCGGGGAGUGUUAUAGCCCGCUGCGUAAUACCCUGUGGCGGACUGAGGUUCGCGCAUUCGCAAGGAUGCUGGCGUAAUGGUCAUCA